rnacentral:rRNA from 1 species
GCUUGCUCCCGGGUGGCGAGUGGCGCACGGGUGAGUAAUACAUCGGAACGUGUCCUGUUGUGGGGGAUAACUGCUCGAAAGGGUGGCUAAUACCGCAUGAGACCUGAGGGUGAAAGCGGGGGAUCGCAAGACCUCGCGCAAUUGGAGCGGCCGAUGCCCGAUUAGCUAGUUGGUGAGGUAAAGGCUCACCAAGGCGACGAUCGGUAGCUGGUCUGAGAGGACGACCAGCCACACUGGGACUGAGACACGGCCCAGACUCCUACGGGAGGCAGCAGUGGGGAAUUUUGGACAAUGGGGGCAACCCUGAUCCAGCCAUGCCGCGUGCAGGAUGAAGGCCUUCGGGUUGUAAACUGCUUUUGUCAGGGACGAAAAGGAUCGUGAUAAUACCAUGGUCUGCUGACGGUACCUGAAGAAUAAGCACCGGCUAACUACGUGCCAGCAGCCGCGGUAAUACGUAGGGUGCAAGCGUUAAUCGGAAUUACUGGGCGUAAAGCGUGCGCAGGCGGUUUUGUAAGACAGAUGUGAAAUCCCCGGGCUCAACCUGGGAAUUGCAUUUGUGACUGCAGGACUAGAGUUCAUCAGAGGGGGGUGGAAUUCCAAGUGUAGCAGUGAAAUGCGUAGAUAUUUGGAAGAACACCAAUGGCGAAGGCAGCCCCCUGGGAUGCGACUGACGCUCAUGCACGAAAGCGUGAGGAGCAAACAGGAUUAGAUACCCUGGUAGU